rnacentral:lncRNA from 1 species
AAACAGUGGAUGCUGCAUUGUUAAAAGCCAUUGAGAGUGUGCCAGACUUGAAGUCUUAUUUGGGUGCCAGGUUUUCUCUAAAGGCUGGCGUGAAACCUCAUGAGCUAGUCUUCUAGAGGAAAGAAGGGUGUUACUCUUGUUUUUGAUAACCUGUUUGUUUAUUGGUGUUGAUCCUUAUAGUUGCACUCUUAUAACAUUCUUGUUAACAGACAAAUGAAGAACCUAAAAUUUUGUUAGGCAAUCGAUUGUGACGCGUGCUCUUUACAUUUUGUUGAUUGUGUGAAUUUUAGAUAUUGUGUGGACCUUUAGCACGCCAAAUGAAAAAAAUUGGAAACAGAUGUACAUGUGGUCAAGGAAAUCUUUCCAUAAUACAUUCAUAAAAUUUUAAGAUAUAGAUAUUAGAAGAAUCGACAAUGACUAGGAUGAAUCUUCCCGAGUAUUUUUUUUGGCUUUUUAAUAUACAAUAGCUACAUGUUUUGUUGCCCUUGGCUUCUGAAGUUAUAAUUUUCUGUUCACUUGUUUUUUUUUAGAGAAAAUUGACUUGCAGCAGUAAUUUAGCUUUUGGAAAAUUUUAAACACCUCAAUAUAAGUCAUAUUAUAAUCAUGUUUAAUUAUAUUCUUGUUUAGACUAAAUUUGAAAAAAUAAUCCUUUAUUUUUUGAAGUUCUUUUUGAAAAGCUGAUAAACGUGAAGUAUUACUUUUUCAUAAUAAAUUUAAUACGGAUUUUUUUAGAGAAAAGUUUAGGGUAGUGGCUGUGUCAGGACAUGCUUCAGGUCACCACGCAAUUAAUAUACACUAAUAAUAGUAUUAAAAAAAAUGAAAACUUUUCCUUCUUAAAUUUGGAUGAAAUUUACACUUUCAAAGGUAAAGAAUAAUAUAUUAUUUUUAAAGUUUAAUGCCUAUGUAUCAUUCAAUUAUAUUAUAAAUUAUUAUUUGAAUUAUUUUAAAAUGAUUAUUUUAAAAGUGAAAAAAAUUAUUAUAUAAUGAACUAUGAUUGAAUGAUUGUAUAAUUUUUUUCGUGAGAAAUAAAGGAUAACAUAAGAUGUAAGGUUCGAUGAGAUAAUGAUCCAAGCUCAGCAAAUUAGUUGCCUUGGCGAUAAAAAUGUUGAAAGGAGAGGUUCUAUUUACGAGCUUUGAAGUUGCUGGUCCUUCGAAUAAGGGUGGUAUGCAGUGCCGUUCACGUCCAACAAUUGCAAAACAAUAAGAGAAUCUGAGUCACAUAUAAGUAUUAGUUGACGAAAACCAGCGUCCCAAGCUAUUUGAAGACCGUGCAUGAAACUCAGCAUUUACAUUUGUGAUAAAACCGCCAGAACCUUUGAAACCAAGAUGUCAUUGGUCAGGAUCAUCUCUGAGGAGGCCUCCGGAUAAAAAUUAAAUAUCAUAUUAGAAAUUUAUAAUACUCAUAUAUUCUGCUGAAUAUUUAUGUGAGCCAAAGAGGAAAAAAAACAGUUUUUCAUUCAUAGGUACAAGAUUCAAUCCUGUUCUAAUAGGAAAUAAUGCACAAUAAAACUAACUCUCACAUCUAACAAACAAAAGAAAAAAAAUAACUUACUUAUUACUUAUAGAAAAUAAAAUCAUUUAAAUAGUUUGAUGGCACGUGUCAAUUUAUACAAAUUAAAUUUUAAUUAGUAAAAUGAAGACUGGUAUACUAAAAAAAAUUAUGGACACAUUAGUCUGGGCUUGGAGCAUGGAUCCUUUGAGUCAGGUCAAGGCCCGUUAGAUUUUAUACAGAACAGGUAUCUAUAUGUCUGAUUUUCAUUUGCGCAUUAAACGAGAAUUAGGGUUUGUAGUGCAGCAGGAAGAAGCAAUAAUGGCGCCGAAGAUAACACGUAAGGUUAGCAGAAACCCCGAAUUGAUAAGGGGAAUCGGAAAGUACUCGAGGUCUCAAAUGUACCACAAGAGGGGCAUUUGGGCUAUCAAGGCCAAAAACGGUGGCGUUUUACCUCGCCACGGCCCUAAACCCAAACCUGAAACUCCCGCUGAAAAACCACCCAAAUUUUACCCUGCUGACGAUGUCAAGAAACCCCUUGUCAACAAGCACAAACCCAAACCCGCGAAGCUCAGGUUCAUUUUCACUUCAUUCUUAUUUGUUUUGACUUAUUUUAUGGUGAUGCUAGUAAAUAAAUUGGGGAUCUGGAAAUGUAGGUUAUCGCUAAUUGCUGAUUGCUGAUUGCUAAUUAAUAAAAUGAAUGAGUUUUUUUUUCUUAAUAAAAUUGCUUUGGUUUAAUGAUGUUUUAUUUAUAUAUGGAGCUCAUGGAGUGUGAUUUUGUGUUGGGUGUGUGUUCAGGGCUAGCAUUACUCCCGGGACAGUGUUGAUUCUUCUUGCCGGUAGAUUUAAGGGAAAGAGGGUCGUCUUUUUGAAGCAGCUUCCUUCUGGGUUGCUUCUUGUAACUGGUGAGUUUUGUCAUUAAUAUGAUACUUCUUAUUACUGAGAUUUUGCAUGCUAAGCAUAUUGUUUAUUGUGUGAUGUUUUUGAUUGUUGUUAUCAAUUGAAUUUAUAUUGUAGUUGUUGUUGAUAAUUGCUUUGUAAGUGUUGCUUGAGGUCUGUACUUCUGUUUCAACUCACAAUUUUGUUUGUUGUUAUGUUGCUUUUCCAUUUUGUGUAUUUUUAUGUGUGUGCGUGUAAAUGUUAGUGAUUAUGUUGGGGGUGUGCUUUAGUUUAGAAUGUAGAUUGACAUUGGUUUUUUGGUACAUGUUGAUCUCAAAUUUUAAUAGCACUUGACUCUUGCUUUUCUGAGAUGUACUAUGUGCUCCGUCCAUUUCUGGUCUGGCUUAUGUUUGUCACUUGCCACUUCAGGUCCUUUCAAGAUUAAUGGAGUUCCUUUGAGACGUGUGAAUCAGUCCUAUGUUAUUGGCACUUCAACCAAAGCAAAUGUCUCUGCUGUUAAUGUCGAACAGUUUGAUGACAAAUACUUUACAAAGGAAGCCCAGAAGAAGAAGAAGGGAGAGGGCGAAUUCUUUGAGGCAGAGAAGGAGGUGGGAUUGUCUAUUUUCUUAUUUUGUUGAAGUUCUUGUUAUUUGUAGUUAGUUCUGCAUGCUGAUCUCUGUCUUUUUCUUCUUUCUGAUGCAGGAAAAGAGUGUGUUGCCCCAGCAGAAGAAAGAUGACCAGAAAACUGUUGACUCUGCGUUGAUAAAAGCCAUCGAGAGUGUUCCAGACUUGAAGACUUAUCUGGGUGCCAGGUUUUCUCUAAAGGCUGGCGUGAAACCUCAUGAGCUAGUCUUCUAGAGUAAAGGGGUGUUACUCUUGUUCUUCAUAUCCUGGUUGUUUAUUGAUGUUUGUCCGUAUAGCUGCGCUCUUAUAACUUGUUAACAGACAAAUUAAGUACUUAAAAUUUUGUUAAGGUUACCAACUGUGUCUCGGAUAUUCCUUCCUGCAAUUUUGCUCCUUUUCACAUUUUGUUGAUUGUAUGAAUUUUAGAUGUGUUUGGGGCUUUCAUCUUGUCAUGGCAAAUGAAGUGGUGCAUAGUCAUUAGUGGAUGCUACCUGGUUGAUCCUGCUAGUAUUGAUAACUAUAUUCUUUUAGCAUGUGGUUAGGAGUUUGAUUCUUAAGUCAGUGUGUAUGGAAGAAUAUCUUUAGUUGAGAGGUUAGAUUGUUAAAUGAAUUUUCGGAUUGGGAGA